rnacentral:lncRNA from 1 species
UUGAUUUUUUUUUUUUUUUUUUUUUUUUUUUUUUUUUUUUUUUUGCGAUUCACCUUUUAAGCUCUUGUGAGCUAAGAGCACCAUGUAGUUUAGGCUCUUGCGAUAAGGAGCUUCACAUAUUUAACAACUCAAAUUUCCAUCAAGGAUUUGUUCACCUUCUUUAUUUGUAGAAUUGGUGAAUAUAAUAAUUAUUGGGUUUACUGUCAAAG